GCGGCGUACAGCUCAGUAACACGUGGCUAACCUGCCCUUGGGACAGAGACAACCCCGGGAAACUGGGGCUAAUCCCUGAUAGGUGAAGAACUCUGGAAUGAGUCUCCGCCUAAAAGACGCUUACAUCAUGCUUGUAGGCGCCGCCCAAGGAUGGGGCCGCGACCGAUCAGGUUGUUGGUGAGGUAACGGCUCACCAAGCCAUUUACCGGUACGGGCCGUGAGAGCGGGAGCCCGGAGAUGGGCACUGAGACAAGGGCCCAGGCCCUACGGGGCGCAGCAGUCGCGCAAACUCUGCAAUACACGAAAGUGUGACAGGGCUAUCCCGAGUGCCGCCCGCUGAGGGUGGCUUUUACUCAGUAUAUCAAGCUGAGAGAAUAAGGAGAGGGCAAGACUGGUGUCAGCCGCCGCGGUAAUACCAGCUCUCCGAGUGGUGUGGAUGUUUAUUGGGCCUAAAGCAUCCGUAGCUGGCUGAACAAGUCCUCUGUUAAACCCAACGAAUCAAUCGUUGGAUCGCGGGGGAUACUGCUCGGCUUGGGGGCGAGAGAGGCAGACGGUAUUUUCGGGGUAGGAGUGAAAUCCUAUAAUCCCGGGAAGACCACCAGUGGCGAAGGCUGUCUGCUAGAACGCGCCCGACGGUGAGGGAUGAAAGCUGGGGUAGCGAACCGGAUUAGAUACCCGGGUAGUCCCAGCUGUAAACUAUGCAGGCUAGGUGUUUGGGCGGCCACGUGCC
rnacentral:rRNA from 1 species